rnacentral:rRNA from 1 species
AUGGAAAUGUUUACGACUGAUGACAACCCUUAUAAUCGGCAGUCAAUGAAAGUUACAGAGGUUAGUGAGAUUAUCCAUUACUCCAGUUACAUUAGUGAAAACAAAUGGUGGCAUCCAGCGCUAUACGUGACGCUAUCAAAUUCAUUCCAAAGUACUCCAGGCUCCAAAGCACGUCCCUUUCAUCCAUUCAGGUUAGAAGCGAGCAAGGCCAUGGCAUCUUUUUUUCCCUUAGAAGUUUAA